ensembl:Mt_tRNA
GUUCUUGUAGUUGAAGUACAACGAUGGUUUUUCAUAUCAUUAGUCGCGGUCGUGGUCCGUGCGAGAAUG